rnacentral:misc_RNA from 1 species
UGCUCUAACCGAUCUGUCGUUCAAACCUCAAAAUUCUUCGUUUAAACUAAAAAAAACUCAGAAAUGGCGACUCCAAAGACCGAAGACACUCCAUCCACACCUUUGGACAUUGAGGGCUACGAUCUGGCCAAUUCCGGCCGCUUCAUGGACUCUUUGGUGACUUUGCUGAACGAAGCCUCCACUUGCAUGCUGCAGGUGAAGAAAAAUGCAGGAAUUUCCGCGGAAUGUUCAUCUGCAGUUCCGAUGAACGACGAGGAAAAGCGCGAUCAAAUGCAGGCGAUUGUGAGCGUGUUGAGUCAGAAUUGCAAGCGGCAGAUAACAGGAGAUGAAAUUGGCCAAUCGAAGUGUCCGGGGCCUCCCAAAGCGGAUUGUUUCACGCCCACUUCUUUGCCUAGGCAGACGGGCCGAGGACAGAGACCGACCAUGUUUAGGGGCAGAUGGAUCCGUCCAGCUACAGCCGCCAGAAUUCCAGCUACCCGCCAUCAGCUCAAGUUCGCUAUAUGAGUGAAGAAUACGCUGGAUCUUCAGCGAGGAGCCCCAGAGGCCGAGGCUGCUCCUCGGACUGUCUGCAACCGUCCAAUAGCUCGCUUGGACAGAGACAUCGAAGAUGAACCCACUUUUUAACUGUUUUUUUUACCAAUAAAACCUUUUAGCAUUAA